rnacentral:rRNA from 1 species
AGAUUAAGCCAUGCAUGUCUCAGUGCAAGCCGUCCAGUUACGGUGAAACCGCGAAAGGCUCAUUAAAUCAGUUAUGGUUCCUUAGAUUGUACCCACGUUACUUGGAUAACUGUGGUAAUUCUAGAGCUAAUACAUGCCGACCGAGUUCCGACCAGCGCCGGGUGCGGUUCACGCCGUCGCACGGCGUUCGGAAGGAACGCUCUUAUUAGAUCAAAACCGGCCAAGCGGUCGUUCCGCGUUUCGACGCUGUUCGGCCGUAAGUGGCCCGCGCAAAGACUUGACGACUCUGAAUAAUUUCGAGCUGAUCGCACGGUCUCGUACCGGCGACGUAUCUUUCAAAUGUCUGCCUUAUCAACUGUCGACGGUAGGUUCGAUGCCUACCGUGGUGGUAACGGGUAACGGGGAAUCAGGGUUCGAUUCCGGAGAGGGAGCCUGAGAAACGGCUACCACAUCUAAGGAAGGCAGCAGGCGCGCAAAUUACCCACUCCCAGCUCGGGGAGGUAGUGACGAAAAAUAACGAUACGGGACUCAUCCGAGGCCUCGUAAUCGGAAUGAGUACACUUUAAAACCUUGGUCACACGAGGAUCAAU